GGGAGCAAGCUCCUGCUUUUGGCCUUGGCUGCAGAUGAUGGACAGGCUGGUGGUACCCAUGCUUGUAGACUGCUUUGGAGAAUGGGAUCCAGAAUGGGAGCUGGUGCAGAUUUCACAGCACUAGGGGUGGUCUUUGUGGCAUCCCGGAUGAAAAGGCAGAAGGAGCAGCAGAUACAACAGGCAUUCCAGGGGUUCCACAUUCUUUCUCUGGUCUCUUCACCGUCCCAAGAGCUGUAAAGCCUUUUCCAUCUAGAAGUCUGCUACCCCUGUGUCACAUAGCUGUAGAAAGAACUUAACCCUGAUGGUUCACGUAGUGAGCAAGAAUGUUUGCAGGCUGGAGCUAGACCUGAUGCUGAGCACGGAGACAAGUCCCACCUCCCUCAGAAGAGACCGUGCUGGUCGCUAAGGGGCCAUCUCAAUGUGAACAGGAAGAAUGAACAACAGAUAAAGGUCAUUUCAGGCUCUGGGAGAGACUGAGCAAAGACCAAAAGUUCGCCACCCAGAUUGCCCUGGAACUCCUGCAUAGACAGCCUGGCCUCCAACUUGAAGCAACCCUUCUGUUUUAGCCCCCAGGGUGCAGGGAUUAAAGGAACUUCUCACCAUGGAAGAAUGCAAAUCUCUCAACCCAGAGAUGUUCGUCCCAGGAGAGAGACUGGGGAAGAUGGAAGGUAAGUGUUCUCAGUGCCCAGGGACCGGGAGAUCAAGUUAACGACUGAUGGAAGGGCUCACUCACCAUGACAGACCCUGUCACUUUACAAAUCACCUUGUACAAGAUACUAAAUUACACAGAACGGUAUUGGAAAAUCAGGUUAGGAAGCCACAUACUUUUGUGGGAGAAAGGAGAAGAAGAAACAUGAUCAGCCACCAAUAUAGAAUCACAGUACUUUUCAAGUGAUUAAUAGUUGCUAUUUCCAAUGGUUGAUCUUUAUCUCUUGGAUUAAUAAGCAGUUAAUCUAAGCUAGUUCUCCUCUUCCUCCUCCCCCUUCUUCAAUAGAGUAUCAUGUAGCCCAUGCUGGCCUUGAACUCACCAGGUAGCCAAGGCUGACUUUGAACUCCUGAUCCCUCUGUCCCCACCACCCAGUGAAUACAAGCUGCCUUCUUUUUUGUGAUGGGAUCUCGGUAUUGUGCUGGUUGUCUUUGGAGUCUCUAUAUAGAUACCAAGGUGACAUCAAAUCCCUCUUCUUCCUGCCUCUGCCUCCCGAGUGCUGUGAUUAAGGGGGCCCAGUUUAGGAUCAAUGUUUUCAAAAUG
rnacentral:sRNA from 1 species